UAAAAAGUAGCUAUGGGAAAAGUUUUAUAUUUACAAUAUUAGGAUAUCUGUUUAACUCAGAUCUUUUUAA
rnacentral:tRNA from 1 species